UUGUACUGAAGGUGACUUCUGGGAGUUUGCUUAGGGCCAAAGAAGGAAUUCUGGCUCUCUGAGUCAAAUUCCAUCUGUUGGAAUUUCCAUAUUUUCCCAACCAGAGUGCCAACUUGUGCCAAAUGUGCUAUUCUUUUCAUUUUUUUUGUGGAACUUUGUUUCCUAAAAAUUUAAAAAAAAAAAUAAAAAAAAAAGAAAAAGAAAAAAGAAGAAGAGGCUGUUGAUUUGGCUACUUGUCAUCACAUCUAGGUCAAACAUGUGUCGAUACAUGCCAUAUAGGGCUGGACGUGGUUCAAUUCGAUUUGGUUCUAAAGAGAAUCAAACCGAACUUGAAUUUUCGGAUAUUUAGUAAAUAGAUCAUCGGGUCCAAAUUUAAUUAUGGAACGGUACGGGUUUGGUUUCAUUCGGUUACUGGGUUCCAUACAAUAAUUAAUUUUUUUUAAUAUUUCCAACGCCACAUUAAAUUAACUAAAGAUAUGUUCAAUUUUAACUCUUAUAAAAUAAUGUAG
rnacentral:lncRNA from 1 species